GCAGACUUACAACACUACUACUACUAUCUGACCGCUAGUGAAUGCCACGACUACCCCCGCAGACUUACAACACUGCUACUAUUAUCUGAGGACAUCCUGACUAUCCCUAGUCCUGCUAGUGAUUCCUCAUCCUGAUUUCUCAAAACCAGCCCUCAGUCUUUGAAUACUGCAUCAACCUCGACAUCUUAUAUCCUUGAUAUACUUAGCGCUUCGUCGAGGAAUUCUUCGGCUUGGUUCCCAAACCAACCGUCUACUAAUCCGGAUACAAGAAGCUAUUCUUGGGAGGUUUCCAAACUCCCAACUCCUGAAUCUACACAAUUCUGCACGCUGACUCUGUCACUGGUUACUAAUACGAAAGCAUCUCUUGCUAACCGUUCUCAGGAUCCUCAUUCCGACUCACUUGAGCCCUACAGGUGGUCCUCUAAUCCUGGAUUCCCAACCAGCUUCUAACCAUCUCGAUUACAUGAACUAACCGUUGCGAAGGUCCUCAAACUUCCAAUUUUGAACUCCUCAAUCCAUCAAUCACUGUGUACUAUCUUUUCUUCUCAGAGGUCGCGCACUCAUUCUGGGUCUACGUGGCUCUUAUCCUUGUAUACUCGGAGGGUUCUCCCCCACUUGGAUUCGGCUAACUCUUUACUUCUCACCGGUCGAAAGGAUUCCCAACCUUCCUUCCAUUAAAAGGGCGAUAUGUUGUCCGCCAACGUUUACCCCUAUCAGCGCUCCCACUAAGUCUUACCAGAUCCGCACCCUUCUUGCUAUCUAACUGAGCACCCUUCGAUCCUUAACUGUAUUUGCUUUAGGGACUACAUCCCGAGAACCUGUGUUUGGGGUGCACAUCCCCAACCCACUUUGNUCAGGUAUUGUUUAAUUAUGUUUUGGGGGUGAGUGGAGAGGGGACUCGGCGAGUUGGAGCCUAGACUCGCCGAGUAGGAUCGCAGACUUGGUCGCGGGUCCGCGACAGGACUCGACGAGUCCAGAUAUGGACUCGGCAAGUCGACGCUGUUCAGCAGAAACCCUAACCGUUCGGUUUUGGAUCGUAUUUAAUGCUCUUAUAGGCCGUCAUUGUCCGUCUUUAGUCGAUUGAGAGGAACCCUAAACGGCUGUGGGCAUCUAGAGCAAGAUUGGAGGAUAUUAGGGCUUGAAGAAAUUGUUGGGCAAGGAGGAGAAGGGUUUAGGCUAAAGGAACAGCAAGGGAUUCGAGUUCUGCGGUUUGGAGACACAGAGAGGACAUAUUCCAGGUAAUAUUUCGGAUUCCCUUCUGUUGUUUGAUGUGUUUAUGAAGUUAGGGUUUAUAGAACCCAUUUGGUGAUUAAAUGAAUUAGUGCCUUGUUACCCAACGACUAUAAUCUUGUAGUAGGACCUUUAGAGGUCCAGAAGGUCCCAUGCAUGUGUAUUUCGGGACGAGACCUAUCUCAGGAAGCAGUUUGAUCGACUGCAUGGCGUGGACUCGCCGAGUCCGAUGAACAGACUCGGCGAGUAGCUUGAAGAUUCACUGGGACUCGCCGAGUUGUUCUUCAGACUCGGCGAGUGGAGUCGGGGUGGCCCCGCGAUUCUUCCAGGAGUAACUCGUCGGGUCGAGGAGGGUACUCGACGAGUAGAUAAGGAAUCUCAGAAAGUUGGAGGACGUCUAGACUCGCCGAGUCGCCAUGGUACUCGCCGAGUCCGGUCGAGCUGACCGUUGACCGUUGACCAGAGUUGACCUAAGUCUGACUUCUUAGGGAUAGUCACACUUAGAAGAUAUNACUCCUGAAUCUACACAAUUCUGCAUGCUGACUCUGUCACUGGCUACUAAUACGAAAGCAUCUCUUGCUAACCGUUCUCAGGAUCCUCAUUCCGACUCACUUGAGCCCUACAGGUGGUCCUCCAAUCCUGGAUUCCCAACCAGCUUCUAACCAUCUCGAUUACAUGAACUAACUGCUGGGAAGGUCCUCGAACUCCCAAUUCUGAACUUCUCAAUCCAUCAAUCACUGUGCUACUAUCUUUUCUUCUCAGAGGCCGCACACUCAUUCUGGGUCUACGUGGCUCUUAUCCUUGUAUACUCGGAGGGUUCUCCCCCACUUGGAUUCGACUAAUUCCUUACUGCUCACUGGUCGAAAGGAUUCCCUACCUUCCUUCCAUUAAAAGGGCGAUAUGUUGUCCGCCAACGUUUACCCUUGCCAGCGCUCCAACUAACUCUUACCAGAUCCGCACCCUUCUUGCUAUCUGACUGAGCACCCUUCGAUCCUUAACUGUAUUUGCUUUAGGGACUACAUCCCGAGAACCUGCGUUUG
rnacentral:lncRNA from 1 species